rnacentral:lncRNA from 1 species
GCAAGGAGUAUAUACAUACUAUUUUUUCAAAUGGGAUAUAUACAACUAUUCUCAGAGUAUAUGCCUAUGAUACUGGCAAUAACGAUCAGUGUAUACUCAUUGUCACAAAGGAGUGUAUGGUGUGUUUUCUUUUCAAAUGAUAGUAUACUAUUUUUCGCAAAGGGGUAUAGAAGAGAGGGCCUUUCUGUAUGGUGUGUUUCAGUAUCGAUCAACAGUAUAUGUUUCUUUCUGUCUUGUCGUACAUAUACUUCACUGCUGAGGAGAAAGUAUACACCAAAAAAAUUAAGUACUGAACCAAGGGAAACCUGUGAGGAGAAGCAUGCAUGCAUCCGGUGAGAAAAAGUAAAAGUGAUAAAAAGUAGUAUAUACUUGAACAAAAGUAGUAUAUACUAUAUUAUCUGAAAAAGUAAGAAGAAUGAAUUUCAAAUACUCGUGGCAAUUUAAAUGAUAGACAAAAGUAGUCUUUGAUGACAGAUGCAAAUUGAUGACACUGCAGUAUGUACCUCAGGUCAGACAAAGUUCCGGCGAACAGUCGAGUACGAGAAGUGUACAGCCACGCGAGGUCGGAAACGUGAGGCGCAACGAUAAGCCAAAAAACUUCAUAUUAUCCAACCUUGCAUUAGAAUCCAAAAGGGUUCAGUGAUGUGUGCCUCUCUCUCUGCUCUCUCUGUUCCUCUCAUAUUUCUCCUUUUUUCUCACCAAAAUACAACGCAAGAGAACAUAUGAUAUACGUCCAUCCGUCGUGAAAAUGACAAUGCUCUAUUUAUAAUUGACACAUUGUUAUGAGUCCAAACUAAAUAAGGUCUCGUCAAUUCUGGGAUUAAGAAAUUGGAAGCACCUUAUAUAUUUGUUCUAUAUUGCAAAAACAACACUGCUUCAUUUGACAGGACUACAACACUCAGCCGUAGAGAGAAAAGGUUGCCAAACCUGAGGAUUAAACCGCAGCCUCCAUGGAUGAAAGUGGAAUUGGACAGUCAGCUUAAGUGCUGGGGUAGCCGGGUGGUACUGUCCCUAGAUCGUUCCCUUAGCUCAAACAUACUGGCUUUUGCGUCGUCGAUGUCGUGUUGUAACUCAGCACUUGCACCUGCCGGUCAGAAAAAUAUUCGCUAAUAUCAAGAACUCAAUCCACAAAGACUGGUUGAACCAACAAUUGAGUCAGUGGUGAAGUAGAUUACCAAAAGAACAAAUAAGAGAACAUGUAUAGCAUUUCCGGAGCAUGUGUUUAACGCUACAAACCUGGGUUUUUUAAAAGAUUGUUCAUGGCCUCCCCUGCUAGCCGAUAAACAUCUAAUGAACGGUCAAAAUGGGUGUGGAUGGCCCUGGGUACAUGAGGUGCGUAAGACCUAAAAAACAACAAUACAAAGUAUAUUGUAAAUUCUGUCAGAACUUGAUUUCACCAUAAAAAAACUCACAGCUAUGUUCAUUUCAGAAGAAAAAAAUAAGAACAUUCAAAUGUCCAGUUAAAUUUUGGGAAGAUGACAGUUGCUGGCAC